CAAAGCCUCCCUACAAACCUGCACAAAUUUUUUAUAAUGCAAAAUGUUAGGUAUCCUAAAUACAGUAGAAAGGGCCUGAGUGAUCAUGCCUCAUGCUGCUUUUUAUGCUUGUUUCUUAACCAACGUUUAUGUGCUCCAAGCAGAAGUGGUCUCCUCCGCCUGCUUCACCUGACAGUAAUGAGUUUGAUUUAUCAGAUUCUGGAGAUCCCACUUGCCUCUCGCACUGUAAAAAACGUCUAAUUUGGUGGUCUCGAUGAAAUGUGCUUUCUGUUUCAUGUUCCCCGGUGAGAUAAGACGGCUAUCAGGGCAGGAAGCCUUCUUGGAAGUCACCGUGGGCUUGGCAUCGCCGCGCAUCAAGGUAGCCAUGGAAACCUGCUCUCAAAGCCGGCGCCGGCUGAUAAGAACCUCAAGUGCCACCGCCUGUGUCCGGCCGGGAGAAGGUUGCCACUUGAAAUUCAGUUUGUGCAGGCUGUGA
rnacentral:lncRNA from 1 species